rnacentral:rRNA from 1 species
GUAGGGAAUAUUGGGCAAUGGAUGCAAGUCUGACCCAGCCAUCCCGCGUGCCGGAAGAAGGCCCUCAGGGUUGUAAACGGCUUUUGACGGUGAAGAAUCGACAGGAUGCGUCCUGUUUUGACGGUAGCCGUUGAAUAAGCACCGGCUAACUCCGUGCCAGCAGCCGCGGUAAUACGGAGGGUGAGAGCGUUGUCCGGAUUUAUUGGGUUUAAAGGGUGCGUCGGCUGUAAGGUCAGUCAGUGGUGAAAAGCUGUCGCUUAACGAUAGUCUUGCCGCAGAUACUUCCUUUCUUGGAUGAGGAGGAGGCCACUGGAACGGAUGGUGUAGCGGUGAAAUGCAUAGAUAUCAUCCAGAACACCGAUUGCGAAGGCAGGUUGCUGUACCUUAAUCGACGCUGAUGCACGAAAGCAUGGGGAGCAAACAGGAUUAGAAACCCGUGUAGUCC